UACAGAGGGUGCAAGCGUUGUUCGGAAUUAUUGGGCGUAAAGGGCGCGUAGGCGGUGCGGUAAGUCUGCAGUGAAAUCUCUGGGCUCAACUCAGAGUCUGCUGUAGAAACUGCCGUGCUUGAGUGUGGGAGAGGUGAGUGGAAUUCCCGGUGUAGCGGUGAAAUGCGUAGAUAUCUGGAGGAACACCGGUGGCGAAGGCGGCAUCCUGGACCAACACUGACGCUGAGGAGGCGAAAAGCCAGGGGAGCAAACGGGG
rnacentral:rRNA from 1 species